rnacentral:ncRNA from 1 species
UCUUCAACUUGGCAAACAUGCUGAAAAGUAUGGACGCAAAGUCUCCGGCCUAAGGGAAGCUAUGGCAGCGGGACUGCGAUA